rnacentral:rRNA from 1 species
GAUGAACGCUGGCGGCGUGCCUAAUACAUGCAAGUCGAGCGAACAGACGAGGAGCUUGCUCCUCUGACGUUAGCGGCGGACGGGUGAGUAACACGUGGAUAACCUACCUAUAAGACUGGGAUAACUUCGGGAAACCGGAGCUAAUACCGGAUAAUAUAUUGAACCGCAUGGUUCAAUAGUGAAAGACGGUUUUGCUGUCACUUAUAGAUGGAUCCGCGCCGCAUUAGCUAGUUGGUAAGGUAACGGCUUACCAAGGCGACGAUGCGUAGCCGACCUGAGAGGGUGAUCGGCCACACUGGAACUGAGACACGGUCCAGACUCCUACGGGAGGCAGCAGUAGGGAAUCUUCCGCAAUGGGCGAAAGCCUGACGGAGCAACGCCGCGUGAGUGAUGAAGGUCUUCGGAUCGUAAAACUCUGUUAUUAGGGAAGAACAAAUGUGUAAGUAACUAUGCACGUCUUGACGGUACCUAAUCAGAACGCCACGGCUAACUACGUG